rnacentral:rRNA from 1 species
AUGUGUUUGCAGGCGAAAGAAACCCCGUGCACCAUACUCUACUUGAUCAAAGGCCAGAAGGUGGACGUGGGAAAGGGGAUGAUAAUGGACCCCUCUCAACGCACGUUGCACAACCAGCUGAUCCCCGCUGGGCACUUCAGGGUUAGCUUGACCAGUGUGAAAUCGGGGCAUGAGGAUUUGCCUCCUCCAGUACAGCAUGUGGGAGCGGACGACGAGACCCCGCUGCGGAUUGGAAGCUGCAAGGGUUGGGUGCUGCUAUGGUCGAAGAAUCUUAUUCGUCUGGAGCCGGCCGAGAGCACACCAAUAACUACUACAUAUCAACAAGCAUGUGCGGAGACCACCACCCCGCCUACGCAAUUACCAGCUCCUGUAGUGUCGGGUGAGAGCGGCGGACGACAUGAUGAAGGGGGUGCAAUAGUACUGGCUGAUGUAAUUUCUCCUGUAGAACAGAGAAUGGAUGAUGAGACGGAGGUCGACCCUAUGGAUUACCUCAAUACAAACGCGUAUGACUGUGACAUAGAUAUGAUGAGUCAACCAUAUGACGAAUCGGGCUAUCAGCUUGCUAAUGAGGAUAUGGAUGAUAUGCCCGGGCAGGGUCGUACCAUGGAUUGCAAAAAGUCUCUCUUCAUGAAAUCCUCACAGGACACGCCUGAAGAUGCCGCCUCAACACAGGCUCAACUAGCCGGGUGCGAGGGUCGUUCAGUACUUAGCCCGGAAACACUUGGGCAGGGGUUAAGGAAGGGUCUGGAAGGUGUGCCCAAGAAAAAGGAGAGGAAGAGAUCGGGGAAGGUAACUGCCUCCAAACAAGCCAGAGCACACAGCAGCCAGACGAUGCAUUCUGAAGAGCGUGUACUCGUGAAAGGUGCGGUCAUGUUCCAUCUCACGGGCGAGCCGAUGCUACCGCCGAAACCGCUGGAGGCACUAUCAGGGGAUCUCAGGAGACUGCACGACCAUGUGUUGUCGACUGAGAAAAGCCUACUAGCCUCAAAGGAUCCAGGAUAUCCGACAUACGCGGCUCGUGUGCCUGAGGGGAAGUGCUACGUCGACACAUGGCCCGCGGAGGUGUUCUUCCUGCGGUUUGACCAUAUCUUUGAGAUGUUUCUAACAAGGCGGCUUGAUUUUACUAUCGUUCGCCUUUUUGCGCUACAUAUGAGCUCCGUCAUGAAGAGUGAAGAAGUCUCGCAAAUUUGUGUGGCGGAUCCGUACUACAUGCAUGAGCCUUUCUUGAGUCUCGGCGACUUUGAGCGUGAAACUGAUAGGGAGUACCUCCAAAACUUUAUGGUACAGAAUAAGGACCGGGAAAUUGUCCUCGUGCCUUAUCAUCCAAAGUAA